UACAGAGGAUGCAAGCGUUAUCCGGAAUGAUUGGGCGUAAAGCGUCUGUAGGUGGCUUUUUAAGUCCGCCGUCAAAUCCCAGGGCUCAACUCUGGACAGGCGGUGGAAACUACCAAGCUGGAGUACGGUAGGGGCAGAGGGAAUUCCUGGUGUAGCGGUGAAAUGCGCAGAUAUCAGGAGGAACACCUAUUGCGAAGGCAGCUCGCUGGGACGUAACUGACGCUGAGACGCGAAAGCGUGGGGAGCAAACAGG
rnacentral:rRNA from 1 species